AUUCAUGAUACAUCCAACCAUAUAUCCGUAUACGUAUAUGCGGUUGCUUUGUGGCGUAUAAAAUAAGAAACAAACUCUCGACAAAAUUCUCAUUGUGUUAACAGACUGCUUUUUCGCAUAUUUUUUUCCAACAUUUCCAAUUUUGAGUACAAUGCACGCAGUCUACGUUUUUGCUGUCCUGCUUGUGGCAGCAAGCCUCUUUACGCCUGGAUACUCUGCCGAUGCAAAAACGUCGGAUUCUGCUAAGAAGCCAUGCAAAAUCGAAAAGUGCGCCCUUGUCUGCAGAGCCCCAAAAGUUCUGAGCUCCUGUGGAUGCCAUUGUGUUACACCAGGAGGAGGUAAAUCGGUGGAAGCUCCGUUUUAAGUUUUAACUGCAAAUGACGCGUGGAUCGCGUAUUCAUCAUGCUAAAACAAGCUACAGCACCGUUGACGUCGGGCAAAACGAUCCGGUUCACGCCGAAUUGCACGCUGUAACUCUUCUUUUUUUGUUAACACAAGCAAGCAAGAUAGUGUUUGAGCAGACCGGGAUGAUGUUCUAACAGGCUUAAAUUAGCAGUUACUACAUCAUUACGAGUAUUGUCAGCUGCCGUCAUAUGUAAACAGAUCACACGUUUUUGCAAUGCCACUGGAAAACAAACUUGAAUAAACUAUGUUAGUAAA